UGAUACGAGUUUCGUUCAGUGCAAGUCCCUUCGGCUAAGCUCCUCAAGGCCGACUUGUGGUUAUCGCACCGUAUCAACUCAGAGAUGUGACGGUACGAACAGUAUCCUCGGGUGAGGGAUUCACCUGCAAUGAACGCGCACUCGUGACCUCCGCGCAGCAAAUGUUGAUGCUUCUUUGAAAAUGUGAUGGAUUGAUUAUGAAAAUGCGGCCAAAGAAGAAAAGAAAAAAAGUAAUUCCAUGUCGGAGCAGAGGUAAUCAAGACGGAACAUGUAUUACCAAUAAUAAUCAAAAUAAUA